rnacentral:rRNA from 1 species
GAUGAACGCCGGCGGAGUGCCUAAGGCAUGCAAGUCGGGGGAAUCCCAGCAAUGGGGGAACCGGCGUAAGGGGCAGUAAGGCAUGGGUACCUACCUUGGGGUUCGGGAUAGCCAUCAGAGAUGGUGGGUAAUACCGGAUGACGUCGUGAGACCAAAGAUUUAUCGCCCUUAGAGGGGCCCAUGUGAUAUUAGCUAGUUGGUGGGGUAACGGCCCACCAAGGCGAAGAUGUCUAGCGGGUGUGAGAGCACGACCCGCGCCACUCGCACUGAGACACUGGCGAGACACCUACGGGUGGCUGCAGUCGAGGAUCUUCGGCAAUGAGCGCAAGCUUGACCGAGCGAUGCCGCGUGAGCGAUGAAGGCCUUCGGGUUGUAAAGCUCUUUAGUGGGGGAGAAAAGCCGCAAGGUGUGAUCUAUCCAAAAAAUAAGCACGGGCUAAGUUCGUGCCAGCCGCCGCGGUAA